rnacentral:piRNA from 1 species
UGCACAGUUUAAGGUAACGGAGCACACGUU